ACGGGAGGCAGCAGUGGGGGAUAUUGCACAAUGGGGGAAACCCUGAUGCAGCGACGCCGCGUGAAGGAAGAAGGUUUUCGGAUUGUAAACUUCUUUUAUCAGGGACGAAGAAAGUGACGGUACCUGAUGAAUAAGCCACGACUAACUACGUGCCAGCAGCCGCGGUAAUACGUAGGUGGCAAGCGUUAUCCGGAUUUACUGGGUGUAAAGGGCGCGUAGGCGGGGAUGCAAGUCAGGUGUGAAAUCUAUGGGCUUAACCCAUAAACUGCAUUUGAAACUGUAUCUCUUGAGUGUCGGAGAGGUAGACGGAAUUCCUAGUGUAGCGGUGAAAUGCGUAGAUAUUAGGAGGAACACCAGUGGCGAAGGCGGUCUACUGGACGAUAACUGACGCUGAGGCGCGAAAGCGUGGGGAGCAAACAGGAUUAGAUACCCUGGUA
rnacentral:rRNA from 1 species